ACUUAAUAAUUUCUAAAAAUUGACAGUCUGCCUUAAGUGAUUAGGCAGAUAGUCUUUAAUUCAUCUUGCCUGGGUAAUUCCCACUGACUUCAAGCCUUAAAUGAGGUAUGGAGGAAAAUGAGAAAUGAGCCCAUAGAGUUGUAAUAUUAAAGAAUCACAGAGAUUGUAACCAUAGAGGAUUUUGACUAACUCACAUUAAUUAUCCAAUUUGUGAAAGAAAUAAAAGAAUUAUGGAGAGCUAAAUUUCUGAAAAAUGAAAACCUCCAGUACCUUCUAAUGAAGUCAUAUCUUUCUAUUUACAUCUCCUUACAAUUUGUAUAAUUUCUGAGGUGCUUUUUGUUUCUCUGAGUGUUGAUCUGAGUUUUAUUGUAUCAGCUCUCUCAGAAAGCUUGCUUAUUCCUUGAAGGGGAGUUUCACUACAAGCGGAAACUGUCCAAUAUUGAGAUGGAAAUUGGAUUUGGGGGGCAAAACAAGACAAAAGUAAGAAACUAAAUGAAGGCUCUCUACAUACUGGAGUACUGAGGAAUGCCCACUCCCCAACACACACACACACACGGGCUGCAAGGAUAAAGGAUAAAGGAGGGAUUGGACAAGGUUUACUGUUUGUCUAAUAUGUUCCAGGCACUGUGGAAAAGAUCUUAUAAACUUCCUUGAGGUCUCACAAGUUUUGACAAGAUCGGAUUGUAAUCAAGCCCAUGUGAUCCAUGGGCUGCCUUCAAGGACUCUUCUCUCCCAGGCAUCUACUUGCUAUUGGCUCUUUCUGAAAUUUAGGGAGAAAUCCAGUCUAACUUUUGUCACUGUUUCAAAGACUUCCACCAUGCUAAUUUUACUUCACUUAAAUGAUGUUGGGAACUUUGUCCCUUCCUAAUUUAAAAACAUUAUUAACCAAUGCUCUCAUUCUGAUCAUUGUUUUUCUUAACUUUGAUACUUUUUGCUUUUCUGAAACAAAGCUUUGAAUUCUUUCAAUGCUGAAGGACUAAAUUUGAACCCAAGGGUAAUAUGUUAAUGUAAAAAUUUUAUAGAAUGAUUUAAGUGGCCAAAACAAAAUGAAAAAAGAGUAAGGAGACUUUAGAAUUCUGAUCCUAAUUCACCUGCUUGUUCUCAAAUUCUUGACCAGUUGAUAAUGAGUCAUUUCAGGCAUUGCAAAAUUUGAGUUCCUUAAAAAAGAUUUUUUGUACAAGUUCAUGAAAGUUGAAAAAGAAAUACUAAGAAAAAUUAAAACAUUUUAUGAAACAAUUUAAAAUAAAUGAAAAACACUCAAUUAUACAAGUAUACAUGUGUGUGAAUACACAUAUGUGUAUACCCUCAAAAUCAAUUAUACUCCAGUAUAUAAAAGAUGGGGAGAGAGAAAUCCAAAAAACUUGGUGGAAGUAGAAAAUUUGUUUAUUUAGUAGAAAAUCACUCUUAUAGGACUUGGGUAGGAGAGAUCAAUUUCUGCCCUUCUGGCAUCACAAGUCCACAUGGCUUGGGGAGAAAAUUCAGGUGUAGUAUGGGUUGGUUUCUAUGUUUUGAGUGUCUGAAACAUUGUAGUACGUGUGGUAGGUUGUUAGUUUACUAAUGAAAAAUAACUCUGAAGGUUGUCAAUUUUUAAUUUCCAGAUAACAAUAUGGCUCCUAAGUGAGAUCACUUAGGUGAUCACAGGAGAUCUUCUAAAGAUGACUAACUUCCAAAUAAAGGAUGGUAAGAACCACAGAAAUGGGACAAUGUAGAGAGGGGAGUCAUAAGGAUGGCGACAUCCAGGAAGGAAGGCCGGUAAAAAAAAGCAGUCAUACCUGGUAGAGAUACAUUAGACACCCUGCAAUCUAGUAAUUGUGCAGACACAUGGGCCAAGGGUUGGGGAUUGGGUAAGGAUGCAGCACACUAUUUCCAGACCCUUCUGUGGGUAUGACUGCUAACGUGGAUCAGACUUGGCUUUCAAUGUUUCAGGGGCCUGUCCCACAAAACAAAAAGGGGUCAAGAUUUAUUGCUAUUGCUAAUGUCAAUUAGAGGUAGAACAGGAAUAGGUAGGGCCAAUGGAAACACUCAUGUUUCCAUUUCUCCAAAAAGAAGUAGUGAUAUUUUAUAAAGUAAAUACCUGGCCAUCGUCUCCUGGCUGUUGUAUGUUGCACCAGUCUGUGUCCAUCCUAGCUACAUUCAUUUCUUAGAUUGAAAGUCCAAGAACUCUCUGGUGGGAGAACAAGGCAGUUAUCCUAACCCUGACAAUUCCCAGUGCAUUAUGUUCCAAAACUUAAAAAAUAUACAUGUAUUUUAAAACUGUAAGAAUUAGAUGGCUUUAAGUGACAUUAGUAAGUUCAAAUCUUAGUUUGACUGUAAUUCUUUAGUACCCUGGUACAUUUUAAUUAUGAUAGGCUGUGUGGUCAGAGAGACCUGAAUUCAAGUUUUACUUCUACUAAUAUUUUGCUCUGUGAGCCUCAGUUUCUUCAAAAUUAAAAUGGGAGAUAAUUAUACUUACAUUGCUGGCUUGUUGUGAAAAUAAAGAUAAAUGUAGGUAAAGUAUCUGGUUAAUUGUAGGUGGCAAAUUAUUAACUAGAUUCUGUUUCUAUAGGCAUAAUUUGGUUGAGUGCUAAACCUUUUCUUGGAGAAGAGUUGUAAUUAUUAGCUGCUAAGAUUGACUAGUAGUUCUUCCCAAGGAGGGGAGACAUCUGUGGCUCUUAAAGUGUCCUGUGUGUGAAUCAAGUUUCCUACAGGGACAUAAAGUAGAGCCCCUGGGAACCACUUUGGAUUUAGCCGCUUCCUUCAGUGGGUUAUGGCACCAUCUCUGUGUGAUCCACCCAGGUUGGAAUAUGUCAUUCCAAAGUGCCUUAAACUUUGUUCAAGUUUGCUUAUCUUUGCAAGAAGAAAUUUCUAUGACAUUCCUUUGCAAGUUUCCUUCUCUGCCACAUAUUUUCACAUGAAAACAGACAGCAGAUCCCGACAAUUAUAUCUAUUAGAACUCACUGGUUAAAGCAUUUACACAGACCUUUGGUAAUUACCUUGGCUACAUGUUUUUAAUGGGCUUUGAAGACUAAUUCAAGGAGAGCUGGACCUUUUCCUACCACUAGGAAAGACUUCAUGGUGCUAGUCUCACCUCCCCUCACUCAGGGCCUCAAAACAUGAAACAUAAAAUACAAAGUUUCUAUUGUCCAUAGGAUAUGAGAGGUACAAAAUAUCAGGAAAUGCACUAAUGUCUAAUUACCAUCCCUCUAACGCCCAUCUCGCCCGUUCUUUUGGUGGGUCAGUUAAAUUUUCAGCUGUCCAGUAUCUACAAACUACUUACUUAGGACUCCAUGGGAACCCCAGAACGUAGAAUACAUAUGGAAAUAUUUCAUAUCUAGAGAAUAUUUCAUUUAACACACAUGCCUGGAGAUUCGCUCUGUUAAAGACUCUUUUGGGGAUAAAAAGGAAAGUAGGAUAUAACCUCUGCCACAAAGAAUUUUUCAUUUAAUGAAAGAAAGCCACACACACAAUAAACUAUACUAAGCAGAAUUUAGUGAGUAUUAUAAAAGAUAGAAACAGUGUUGUGAUAGGUAGAAAGGAAUUAUAAUCCAAGAAAUGGGGAGAUUGCUCACAGAAAGAGAUCACAUUUAAUUUCAACCAGGGAUGAAAUGAAUAAUUUCAACAGGGGUUAUAAAUGCUCGGUGUGGAAGAUAUAGCCAGGGUGUAAAGGGCCAGAACACAGAGCUUCACUAGGCAGGGUGGAGUGAUCCAUGCAGAAUGAAAGCUCAAGGACAACUGAAGCUCCAACUGCAAAAUUUGAAAAAAGUCUUAUGUUUAGGCUGGGGAAGACUAGAAGGUGAGAGGGAGGUGUGCCGAUGUAGAGAUGAUGUCUUUGCAUUUUGAACACGUUCAGUUUGAGAUGUUAGCAAAAUCUUCAGUUUUCUUUGUCUGAGAUAGUUGGAAUUUUUGGCCUGGGGGGAAAGAAAGAAACUGAAAACCAUAAAAGGAGUGAUUUCAACUAUUGUCACAAAUGCAGCAGUUACAUUCAUCAGUCUUAAGGUUGUGGUUGAAACUGUGGAAGUGGAUGAACUGAGCUAAAGAGAAGUGAUGACUCAAGACAAGACAAAGGAGAGGAGAGAUCCUUGGGGGGGGUUCCUACCUUCAGGGCACAAACACAGGAAGUGGGGUCCCUGAGAGACACAGAAAAAGGAACAUUAGAGAAAAAGGAAGAGAACCAGAAACGUGUGUUGCCAGGGACUCAGAGGACUGAGAAAAAUCUUCAAAGAAACAGGUGGUGAAUUCUAUACAAAGACUGAGGAUGAUAAGGAGAACAAAACAAAACAAAACAAAACUCCAGUUACGGAGUUGCUGAAGGUCAUUGUGCUCUUUUACAAAGGUGUCAGUAGAGCUGAGAGAUGAAAAUAAGACUUUGUGGUCAAGCAUUGUGUUGGAAAAAAAGGGCAUGGCAGCAGAUUUGGGGAGGAAGGCUGAUGAUGGAUUUUCAAGGAUGUUAGUUCUAAAGCAUCCCUGAUGAGAGCUAUACACUGUUAAGUGUGCUGCUAUCUAAAUAUUGUUUGGCCCAGGCUCUAGGGAUUUUGUGUCAGGUUCCCAAGAGAUGAUUUGAGCUAAAAGAACUUGAUUAUUUUGGGAAGGGCAGAACUAAGAAGGCUAUAAUCAUCAUCCCCACCUUACUGGCACAGGUGAAGUUAGUACCAUGCAGGACGGGAUUGCCAGGAUAAAAGCAGAAAGUAUCAUUUGAAAUAAACAAGUGUAUAGAAGAAAAAAAUAAAGACCCAUGGGUCUCAAUGUGUUUUCCCACAUUUACCCUAAGCCUGCUAGAGAGAAUAAGAGCAAACCUGUGGGUUUUGGGGACCCAGGAAUACAAAUGUAUGGAAACUGUGAAUUUAAAUCUUUUAAGAUUGGUUCCUAGACCCUUGAUCAAGAAAGGAUCAAUCCUUCCUUGAUUGAUCAGUCAAUUAAGAUCAAUAUGGCUUUUGACUAAAAUGGUCUUAAUGUUCUUCUCAGUGUAACCAAACUUUAGACAGUUGUUUUAUUUAUUUAUUUUUUUCCUGACUGUAUGUCCCCGACCUCCCUUUUUCUCAGAGCAUGUACUUUAGAAAACCUAUUUACAAAAAUAGACACAGGAGCUCCUGCUGUGGUAUAAUGGGAUUGUGGCAUCUUGGGAGUGCUAGGAUAUGGAUUCAAUCCCUGGCUUGGCACAGUGGGUUAAGGAUCUGGUGUUGCUGGAGCUUUGGCUUAGGUUGGGAAUGUGGCUUGGAUCUGAUUCCUGAAACU
rnacentral:lncRNA from 1 species